CUCCUGUCAAACUUAUUGGUGAGCGAGUUUGGUUUUUAAAACUCAUUUUUCACGUAUUAAACGUGCCAUCCAGAAGUAAUGACAUUUUCCAUGUAAUUUGUCAAGCGUUUGUGAUUAGAUUAUGCGCAGUCAGUUAGCCAAAUUGAGUUCCUGUCACGUACUGAGGAAACAAAUUGGAAGGAAACUGUACACUGGCCUUAUGUUCAUUUUCUGAUGAGUAAGUACAUAUAGACUUCAUAAAGUGCAGAUAAUGCCUUCACGAACACGCUGUUAAUCAUCUGCAAAGCAUUCGCCUGAUGCAGUGACGGUGUUAUGCAACACUGCAGUGGGCUACAAUACGUUAUACAUUCGACUUGUGAUGCCACCGCUCUACCACAAAUUAAGUUUAUGUUCAGAAAUUUUUGUCACUCAGUGAACCCCUUAGAAGAGUUUGACUGAUGAUUAAGUAAGUUAAACGUGACUUUACACAUUACGUUGAUCCAAUCAACUUUACUAAUAGCCUACCUAUAUCGAAAAAUGCAAUUAAGAUAUUAUGUAAAACUCUGUUUUAUUAAUUUGUAUGUAUAUAUUAAUUUCAAAUGUGACGAAGUCAUGAAUGUAAAAUGAUCCCCCGAUUGGUUUUGCCAAUGUUUCUAACCAUCCAAGAAAACUCUUUGGUGGUCUGUGGGGGAGACGUCUUCUUUCCAACUGCUGCAAGCAUGAGAAAAAAACAUCCCGAAAAAUCUGAAAAACAGAAAGUUACUGCUUUGCUAUUGGUCCGCUGGAUAUGCUUCAACCAAUCACCAGCUGAAUAUGGCGUAACUUCUGCUGACAAUAAACGUGCUUUUAUGAUAAACUACCGAGAGAUCCGGUACAAAACAAUCUUGAAAAUUUGCUGGGUGACUUCUGAACGACCAAAAGUGACAUGAAGGAACAAGUCAAACCCAUCUCCCAAGAUGGCCUGGACUUCGGGAAACCGCAGGGGGCCCGGGGGGCUGUGUGGCUCGGCUCUUCACAGUCAGUGUGAACGGGACCAGCGCUCGGAGCCGGCCCAGGCGGAACACGGCGCACUCCCAAGCGCUCUGCACUAGCGUGACGUUCCUCACCACGAGCCGGAACUCGCCCGCGGGCGCCCGUGCCUCGGGGCCGGAGAACAUCUGUUGACUCUGCGUGUCGAUCCACAGCAGUCUGGUGGACUCCUUCACGUGUGAAACGACACAGACCAGGGAGCCAUCCUCUCCCUCAUUCAGCUCCACGGGCUCGGAGUACACUGCAGGGGCAGACACACACAGUGCUGUGAGUUAACAUAACAUAACAUAAUGUAACACAACACAACACAACACUACACUACACUACACUACACUACACUACCCAACACAACAUAACGACAAGAACAGGCCAUUCAGCCCAACAAUGCUCGCCAUUUUCCGGACUAAAUUAGUGCUCUGAUUACCCACAGACUAGACAGUGUCUAACACUGUAUCAAGCUUGGUCUUGAAAAUCCCCAGAAUUUCUGCCUCUGCUACAUGACCUUGCUGGUUAUUCCAUAUCAUUGACUACUCUUUGCAUGAAAAAAUUCUUCCUAAUUCAUACUACAUUGUAGAUGGUCACAUACCAUAGAUAGUAUGGGUUGCAUGUGGAUGAGAAAACAUCGAUUAUGGAGUAUAUUACACUCUCCAUAGUCAUGUGCAUCAGAUACAUGCAUCAAGUCCCAUACAGUUUUACAUGUGCUAAUACUAGUACCAGUGCAAUAGUUAGUCUAAACCACGGCUGCCCAACCCUGCUCUACCAUCCUGUAGGUUUGGAGAUCUACUGUCCUGUACGUCUUCACUCCAACCCUAACAAAGCACACAUCAUUCAACAGCUAGAGAUCUACUGUCCUGUACGUCUUCACUCCAACACUAACAAAGCACACCUCAUUCAACAGCUAGAGAUCUACUGUCCUGUACGUCUUCACUCCAACACUAACAAAACACACCUCAUUCAACGGCUAGAGAUCAUCUCAUUGAGCUGCUAAGCAGUAGAGUCAAGUGUGCCAAAUUAAGUUUGAAAUGAAAAUCUAUAGGACGGUAGAUCUCCAGGAACAGGGUUGGGCAGCCCUGGUCCAAACACAGUUUGGCAUGCUAAUACGAUUUAAAUUCCACAAAAUUACAUUCCGUUUUUAACGAGCAAACACAUUUUCUGUCUCCGUUCCUUAUUGAAAUGUAGCCAAACAUGAGAGCUCAGGGCUGAGUAGGUCUGCUGCAGAGGAUUUGCUAAAAGAUUAAAUUUCAUUCCAUCUUACUACUUUUUUGUGAAAAGCAAUUUUGCAGUUUUUAAAUAAGCAUAAAAGUGGGGAAUGUAUAAUGGCUGACAUUACCUUUCACUAUAAUUAUUUCAUAAGUGCAUUGCUUGUAAACUUUGCUGCCAUCACAAAUAGUGCAUCGGUAUUGUCCAGAGUCAUUCCAGAGCAGAGGGGAGAUGCUCAGUGAAAAUUUGUUGCCGGACCCACUCUUUACUUCAGAUCGAUUUCCAAAGUGUUCCAGGUCUGAGCCAGACCGUUUGCAGUCUCCUUUAUACCCAGUCUGUCUCCAGCUCCAAAAGCCCUCAAGCGUUGCUGCUGUUGGAGGUUCACAAAAGAGAUGCAACGAGCCGGUCCUGCUGAUUCUGUACACAGGCGUGCUAGUCUUUACACCUGGGAAAAAAUAAUACAUUAGCUCGAUAUGCAUGUAUGUAUGUACAGUAUGUAUGUGCAUAUAAUCACAGUCAAAAUUAUAUUAAAACAUAACAAAGUUGCAUAUGUUUCCGCUUAUAUAAUUAAUUAAAUUGGAAUGGUUAUUUAACUAGUUUUCUGCUUUGUAUAUGUAAUUUGUAAUAUUUAAAUCAAUAUUGUAAUAUUUAAAUCUGUAAUAUGUAAUUCAAUACUGUAUUUACCCAGCUGUAUUUCCAGUUUCACUGCAGUUUCCCCUGUUUCAUUGAUACAGCUGUAAUUGCCUUCAUUCAUCUCCUGGAAGUUUUCCACCAGCAGGUAUGCAGUGCUGUCGACCACUAAUGUCUUGAUGUUACUUGAUGUCUGCUUGAUGACCCAUUUCCACUUCGGAAGAAAAUUUCUCUUUGAUUUGCAACGUAACGUGGCAUCCAAUCCACGCGGUACCUGGAUGACUUCAUCCAGUAGAACAAACAUUAAAAUAGUUUCCACGCAUUCACAAAUAAUUCGGCCAAAUACACAACCAACCAAAUCUUGAAAUCAGAUGGAAAUAUUAUGCACUUCUACACCCGAAAGCUUUUCACAAGAGAUGACCGUUACUCUGAAACAGCCCUGCUAUGUAACCCUUUCGAUUGUCAGAUGUUAACUUACCUUCUGCAAAAACAGGAGUAUAUUCUGGUGUAAGAAACAACAGAAUCCAGCAGCCAAUGGUAAAAUGAAGAGUCAUUGUUCAAUAUUGAAGGUUGCCUCUGAUGGUGUCAGGGAUUACUGCUUAUGAGCAAAGCGGAGUGGAACUCCAUAUCAUGCUUCCUCUCAGCAAGGAGGUGGGUGCAGUGAUAUCAUUUCACCCUGUAAGAUAUAUGUAUAUAUAUAUAUAUAUAUAUAUUUAUACGUCACAGAAGGAAGCUAACCUUAGCGACCAACUGUAGCAUAAUCGCUUCCUUUUCUCACUCAGUUAAGCAAACAAAAAAACUCAAGUCCAGUUAGAAAGAGCCUGCUUGUCAUCAUUUGAUUUCAAAAGCAAAGUUUAAUUUAUUAAAAUGUGCAGUACCCUUCCUUCAGUUAUUGUAUUUCAUUAUUGUAUCUGUAAUUGUAUUUCUUUUUUGGUUCAUAGUUGCUGCUUAAAAUUUUUGAUUUUUAACUUCAUGGGGCCAUGAGGGUGAUUUCAUCUCCAACACAACAUUCAUCAUCGCACAAAGUGCAGUUAGCUCCACCAAGUGUGGAAUGUUCCAUUGAAUAGAACCCGGACCUCCUAUGGCGAGAAGAAAUAAUGAAGUAUAAAGAAAAAAAAAAACAUUUAUGCGUAAACAACAAAAGGAAAUAACGUGAAUCAUAGUCUAAAAUGGCAGGCCACAUUCAAACAUGAGGUGUGAAAUGCAUUAGAGAGCAACACCACACAUAUCCUGCCACAACAAUGGUGCA